GAUGAAGCGGCUUGGUUUUGGUGCGGAGAUUAGCUUUUUUCAGGCUCUCUUCUAGUUCUACAGCGUACCAAAGAUGUAGCGUUGAUCUAAUCCCAUUCAGUUUGGAAAUAUGUUUAGGCACAACUGUUAUCAUCUGCCAGAUUUAUGUGGAUUUGGAAUAGUAAAAAAUGGGAAUAUAUACCAUCGCCUGAGAUCCGCCAAGAAUGCGCUCCACCGUAAAGGUCAUUCGUCCGACGAAAUGGCAGAUUACAGUUUAUAAAGCCAGAGUGGCGACGAGUAAUGGAAUAAUAGCAACGAGGUGCAUCAAUGGUUCUCGUCGUGAAGACCGAGCUGAUAUUCUACUAAAUAAUGAACCAUGUUGGAAAUGGAAUAGCAAUAUUGAAUAUUGACCAUACGGAACUAGAAACGUGCACUGCACUGUGAUGGUUUUACAUCACUUUUAAGCAUUUUGACUGCAAUUGGAUAAUAGAAAAUCCACUGACUGUCAAUCGAAAAGAAAACGGUCAUUUCAACUGAAAAAAACAUCAUUCAAACAUGGAUUAUGGGUUAGUCUGAUUUCUACAACGGGCAACGGCAAGCUUUCCCAAUAAGCUUUGAUUCAAUGUUUGACUGGCAGAGGAGAAAAUGUCACUGUUCCUUAUUUUGUACACUUUUGAUGGAUACUAAAACUGUUCUCGGGCUGGGAAUCGA